GUGCUAGCUUCAGAACACAUACACUAAAAUUGGAAUAAUACAGAGGUUAGCAUGGCCCCUGUGCAAGGAUGAUGCAAAUUCAUGAAGCGUUCUGUAUUUUU
ensembl:snRNA U6 U6 spliceosomal RNA